rnacentral:rRNA from 1 species
CUUGAAUUCGUUGUUCCCGGGUCUUGUACACACCGCCCGUCACACCAUGGGAGUUGGUUCUACCUUAAGGCAAGGUUUAAAACCCUUGACCACGGUAUAGUCAGCGACUGGGGUGAAGUCGUAACAAGGUAGCCGUA